rnacentral:lncRNA from 1 species
GGACAUCUCUGUGAUAAAACAAUAUCAUAUCAAGUUCAUACUACGUACAAGGUACUCCAAAUAAAAUUGCUCAUACUGCUAAAACCCUCACUAACUGUUCAGGUGGAUACGAUGAUCCAACUCAUUGUGAAUGUGAAUUCUCAAGCCCAAUUAUUACAAUCCUAUUAUUGACCAAUGAUGGUCAAAUGUGCAAAUGAUGACAGCCAACAAGUCUGAAAGUUACUAGAACCCGACCCAUUUUAAUCACCCGCUUCCAGCAGUUUUCAAUCCACUAACAGACCAUUCCAUCCGUGCAGCAGCUUGUUAACAAAGAUAAGAAUUGUUUUUGGCACUUUCCUGCAAGUAGCAGAACAUAAACAUCAGUGGGGUCUACAAAUAAGAUCAAACAGUUGCACACAUGGAAUAAAAUGUGAAAUCAAAUGGAAUGAACACUGUUUAAUUAGGGACACAUGCAGUACCAGCUCAUUAACUUGGGGUAUAUUUGGUUUGGAGCCCAAGCAAAAAAAAAA